ACUGCUUUUCUUUGAUGUCCCCAUUUUGAGGAGCCCAAGCGUCCCGCCUAUUAGGUUCAAGACGCUUGGUUUUUUUAUU
rnacentral:sRNA from 16 species